GCCAUAGUGGCUCGGUGGUGUAGUGGUAGCAUAUCUGCCUAGUAAGCAAGAAGACCCGGGUUCGAGUCCCGGCCGUGGCA